rnacentral:rRNA from 1 species
AUUCCUUUGAUUUUGGGGAAGAUAUAAAGCUCGCGGCAUUUAUAAUACAUGCUAGGGAACGGAACGCAAGGAAUAAUUUUGUUAAUACGUCCCGCACAGGUGAGUAAUGUUCUGGAACUAACUAAUUUGGGGUAUGACAGCUAAUUAUUAGGCCAGGGUCGGAUUAGGUAAAAUGGGAAUUUUACCUUACCAAGGAUGCGUAGCUGAGAGGCCACACUUCCACUGAAACAAGGGGAAGACUCGGAGGAGGCAGCAGUAGAGAAUAUUGUGCAAUGUAUGAAAGUAUGACACAGAGAUGUCGCAUUAAUAGACCGUCUAAUAUACGUGCCAGCAGACGCGGUUAUACGUAGGGUCUGAGUUUUUAUCGGGAAAAGGCGUAAAGGGUGUAUAGGCAGGUGAUAUGAGUUUUAUGGGGUAAUUGGAACUUUUAUGUAGCGGUAGAAUGCUUUUAUAUAAAAUGGAACUCCAGAGGCGAAGGCGAAUUACUAGUUAAAACUAACGCUGAUACACGAAAGUGGGGGGAGCAAACAGGAUUAGAUACCCUGGUAGUCCCUACUGUAAACUAUGAAUAUCAGAUUGCGGAGUAAAAUAACGUGGUUGAUGAUAACUUAAGAGAAUUCCGCCUGAAGAGUACGGUCGCAAGAUUAAAAUUCAAAAAAUUUGGCGGUUCACUAAACCAAUUAGAGGAGCGUGUAGUUUAAUUCGAUAAUACGCGAUUAACCUUACCAAAACUUGAGGUUGAAGAACUAUAACCGGUAUUGCAUGGCCGUCGUCAGUUCGUGUUGUGAAAGAAGUAGAACGAACGUAAUCCUUAACCGUAAUUGAUGACUUUACGGCAUUGGGGUUGACGUCAGGCCCUUAUGAUCCAAAUGUUUUGGGCUACAUAUGCGCUACAGUUUUUUAUCCAAAGAGAUGAUUAAAGUAAAAGUUCGGAUUGUUCCCUGAAAUGGGGAUAUGAAGUGGGAUUUAAUAGUAAUCGGAAAGUAGAGCGUUUCGGUGAAUCCGGCUCUAGUGUUNGUACAAAUCGCCCGUCACUUCGACCGAAUAAAAGACUCCCAAAGUGUUAUUCGGGGAUCGAAGAAAGGGAGGCAUGGUGUAACAAGGGUUAAGGGUUUUUUUGAUUUACUGGUUUACAUUACGGAAAUUUUCUGAGGUUGANGAAGUCGUAACACAGCGAGGGUAUUGGAAAAUGUCCUCGGACUAAU